rnacentral:rRNA from 1 species
UACGAAGGGGGCUAGCGUUGCUCGGAAUCACUGGGCGUAAAGCGCACGUAGGCGGAUUGCUAAGUCAGGGGUGAAAUCCUGGAGCUCAACUACAGAACUGCCUUUGAUACUGGCAACCUUGAGUCCGGGAGAGGUGAGUGGAACUGCGAGUGUAGAGGUGAAAUUCGUAGAUAUUCGCAAGAACACCAGUGGCGAAGGCGGCUCACUGGCCCGGUACUGACGCUGAGGUGCGAAAGCGUGGGGAGCGAACGGG